rnacentral:sRNA from 1 species
GUAAUACCUGAGAGGGAAGUGGCUUCAUUUCAGUGGCUGACUUCCACAGAGCAAUAUGGCUGGUUCCCCAACAUGCCUCACCCUCAUCUAUAUCCUUUGGCAGCUCACAGAUCAGGAAGAGACUAGAGAGAGGGGGAAAAAUGGCUCUGGGAACUGACUCCCCUAUUGACUGUCCCAGGGAUGAAGGAGCUGAAAGAAGUGGUGCUGGGUAUCAGAGACCAUUUUUCUAAUCCAGGUUCUGCCAUGAGUUAGAUAAGGAAUGUUAAAGUUUUCCUGGGCCUCAGAAACUUUAUCUUCUAGCCUUCUCUCCUUUUGAGGGCAACUUUAAGAACAAAAUGAUACUAUACAGGGUCAGCAGUUUCUGGACCCGUGAAAGAGCUGGUCGGUUCCGUUGGUGGGGCCGUGACUUUCCCCCUGAAGCCCAAAGUAAAGCAGGUUGACUCUAUUGUCUGGACCUUCAACACAACCUCUCUUGUCACCAUACAGCCAGAAGGGGGCACUAUCAUAGUGACCCAAAAUCGUAA